UGAGGAAUAUUGGUCAAUGGCCGCAAGGCUGAACCAGCCAAGUAGCGUGAGGGAAGACUGCCCUAUGGGUUGUAAACCUCUUUUAUGCGGGGAUAAAGGCGUCCACGUGUGGAUGUUUGCAGGUACCGCAUGAAUAAGGACCGGCUAAUUCCGUGCCAGCAGCCGCGGUAAUACGGAAGGUCCGGGCGUUAUCCGGAUUUAUUGGGUUUAAAGGGAGCGUAGGCCGGUCUUUAAGCGUGCCGUGAAAUUUUGUGGCUCAACCAUGAGAGUGCGGCGCGAACUGGAGACCUUGAGUGCGCGGAA
rnacentral:rRNA from 1 species